rnacentral:tRNA from 1 species
GGUGGCUCAGAGGUAGAGUGCUUGCCUUGCAUGCAUGAGGCUCUGGGUUCAAUUCCUCAGCACCA